rnacentral:rRNA from 1 species
GAAGAAAGAGGGGGGCGUGCUUAACACAUGCAAGUCGAACGGGAUUUAGUAAACGGAAGCCUCGGUGGAAGAUUACUAAUGAGAGUGGCGAACGGGUGAGUAACGCGUGAGCAACCUGCCUAUGACAGUGGGAUAGCCUCGGGAAACCGGGAUUAAUACCGCAUAAAAUCGUAGAAACACAUGUUUCAACGGUCAAAGAUUUAUCGGUCAUAGAUGGGCUCGCGUCUGAUUAGCUAGUUGGUGAGAUAACAGCCCACCAAGGCGACGAUCAGUAGCCGGUCUGAGAGGAUGAACGGCCACAUUGGAACUGAGACACGGUCCAAACUCCUACGGGAGGCAGCAGUGGGGAAUAUUGCACAAUGGGGGAAACCCUGAUGCAGCGACGCCGCGUGAACGAAGAAGGUAUUCGUAUCGUAAAGUUCUGUCCUAUGGGAAGAUAAUGACAGUACCAUAGAAGAAAGCUCCGGCUAAAUACGUG